AUGCACGUUGGCGGCGUGGAUUAGGCAUGCAAGUCGAGCGAGAACCCCGCAAGGGGGGACAGCGGCGAAAGGGACAGUAAUGUGUAGAUUAUCUGCCCUCAGGUCCGGGAUAGCUGCGGGAAACUGCAGGUAAUACCGGAUAACAUCUCCGGAUCAAAGGUGUGAUUCCGCCUGAGGAUGAGUCUGCAUCCUAUUAGCUAGUUGGUGGGGUAAUGGCCUACCAAGGCAUUGAUGGGUAGCAGGUGUGAGAGCACGACCUGCGUCAUUGGGACUGAGACACUGCCCAGACACCUACGGGUGGCUGCAGUCGAGAAUCUUCGGCAAUGGGCGCAAGCCUGACCGAGCGACGCCGCGUGUGGGAUGAAGGCCUUCGGGUUGUAAACCACUGUCAGAGGGGAUGAAAUGCAGGUGGGUGCUCCCAUCUGUUUGACAUAGCCUCAGAGGAAGGACGGGCUAAGUUCGUG
rnacentral:rRNA from 1 species